GCAGAGCAUCCUACGGGAGGCAGCAGUGGGGAAUAUUGCACAAUGGGCGCAAGCCUGAUGCAGCCAUGCCGCGUGUAUGAAGAAGGCCUUCGGGUUGUAAAGUACUUUCAGCAGUGAGGAAGGUGGGUAUGUUAAUAGCAUAUUCAUUUGACGUUAGCUGCAGAAGAAGCACCGGCUAACUCCGUGCCAGCAGCCGCGGUAAUACGGAGGGUGCGAGCGUUAAUCGGAAUUACUGGGCGUAAAGCGCAUGCAGGUGGUUUGUUAAGUCAGAUGUGAAAGCCCGGGGCUCAACCUCGGAAUUGCAUUUGAAACUGGCAAACUAGAGUACUGUAGAGGGGGUAGAAUUUCAGGUGUAGCGGUGAAAAUGCGUAGAGAUCUGAAGGAAUACCGGUGGCGAAGGCGGCCCCCUGGACAGAUACUGACACUCAGAUGCGAAAGCGUGGGGAGCAAACAGGAUUAGAUACCCUGGUAG
rnacentral:rRNA from 1 species